rnacentral:piRNA from 1 species
UUUUCUGUUUGUAGAUGAUGCUAGCUUA